rnacentral:rRNA from 1 species
CCUACGGGCGGCAGCAGUGAGGAAUAUUGGUCAAUGGACGAGAGUCUGAACCAGCAAAGUAGCGUGAAGGAUGACUGCCCUAUGGGUUGUAAACUUCUUUUAUAUGGGAAUAAAACGUUCCACGUGUGGGAUUUUGUAUGUACCAUAUGAAUAAGGAUCGGCUAACUCCGUGCCAGCAGCCGCGGUAAUACGGCGGAUCCGAGCGUUAUCCGGAUUUAUUGGGUUUAAAGGGAGCGUAGGUGGAUUGUUAAGUCAGUUGUGAAAGUUUGCGGCUCAACCGUAAAAUUGCAGUUGAAACUGGCAGUCUUGAGUACAGUAGAGGUGGGCGGAAUUCGUGGUGUAGCGGUGAAAUGCUUAGAUAUCACGAAGAACUCCGAUUGCGAAGGCAGUUCACUGGACUGCAACUGACACUGAGGCUCGAAAGUGUGGGUAUCAAACAGGAUUAGAUACCCCGGUAGUC